rnacentral:rRNA from 1 species
AAACGACUCUCGGCAACGGAUAUCUCGGCUCUCGCAUCGAUGAAGAACGUAGCGAAAUGCGAUACUUGGUGUGAAUUGCAGAAUCCCGUGAACCAUCGAGUCUUUGAACGCAAGUUGCGCCCGAAGCCUUCGGGCCGAGGGCACGCCUGCCUGGGCAUCACGC